GUCUUUUUUUUAGUAGCCACUUAGUCACAAACACUGGCCAAAGUUAGUGUUCAUAUUUGUUUUUGUGUGAAAAAAAGAAAAAAAAAACAACAAAUAUUUGGCCAGUGUUUGUGACUAAGUGGCUACUAAAUAUGAC